UGAACGCUGGCGGCGUGCCUAAUACAUGCAAGUCGAGCGAACAGACGAGGAGCUUGCUCCUCUGACGUUAGCGGCGGACGGGUGAGUAACACGUGGAUAACCUACCUAUAAGACUGGGAUAACUUCGGGAAACCGGAGCUAAUACCGGAUAAUAUAUUGAACCGUAUGGUUCAAUAGUGAAAGACGGUUUUGCUGUCACUUAUAGAUGGAUCCGCGCCGCAUUAGCUAGUUGGUAAGGUAACGGCUUACCAAGGCAACGAUGCGUAGCCGACCUGAGAGGGUGAUCGGCCACACUGGAACUGAGACACGGUCCAGACUCCUACGGGAGGCAGCAGUAGGGAAUCUUCCGCAAUGGGCGAAAGCCUGACGGAGCAACGCCGCGUGAGUGAUGAAGGUCUUCGGAUCGUAAAACUCUGUUAUUAGGGAAGAACAAAUGUGUAAGUAACUAUGCACGUCUUGACGGUACCUAAUCAGAAAGCCACGGCUAACUACGUG
rnacentral:rRNA from 1 species